rnacentral:rRNA from 1 species
AUUGAACGCUGGCGGCAUGCCUUACACAUGCAAGUCGAACGGCAGCACGGGAGCAAUCCUGGUGGCGAGUGGCGAACGGGUGAGUAAAGUAUCGGAACGUGCCCAGUCGUGGGGGAUAACGUAGCGAAAGUUACGCUAAUACCGCAUACGAUCUAUGGAUGAAAGCGGGGGAUCGCAAGACCUCGCGCGAUUGGAGCGGCCGAUAUCAGAUUAGGUAGUUGGGGGGGUAAAGGCUCACCAAGCCGACGAUCUGUAGCUGGUCUGAGAGGACGACCAGCCAAACGGGGCCUGAGACACGGCCCAGACUCCUACGGGGGGAGGCAGUGGGGAAUUUUGAACAAUGGGCGAAGCCUGAUCCAGCCAUGCCGCGUGCAGGAUGAAGGCCUUCGGGUUGUAAACUGCUUUUGUACGGAACGAAAAGGUUUGGCCUAAUAAGCUGAGCUCAUGACGGUACCGUAAGAACAAGCACCGGCUAACUGCGUGCCAGCCGCCGCAGUAA